UACGGAGGGUGCGAGCGUUAUCCGGAAUUACUGGGUUUAAAGGGUGCGUAGGCGGCUAUGUAAGUCAGGAGUGAAAGUUUGCGGCUCAACCGUAAAAUUGCUUUUGAUACUGCAUGGCUGGAAUUAGGAUGAGGUCAGCGGAAUGUGGCAUGUAGCGGUGAAAUGCUUAGAUAUGACAUAGAACACCAAUUGCGAAGGCAGCUGGCUACGCAUAUAUUGACACUGAUGCGCGACAGCGUGGGGAGCAAACAGG
rnacentral:rRNA from 1 species